AUCUGGCUCAGAUUGAACGCUGGCGGCAGGCCUAACACAUGCAAGUCGAGCGCGAAAGUUCUUCGGAACGAGUAGAGCGGCGGACGGGUGAGUAACGCGUGGGAAAUUGCCCAGUAGUGGGGGACAACAUUCGGAAACGGAUGCUAAUACCGCAUACGCCCUACGGGGGAAAGCAGGGGAUCUUCGGACCUUGCGCUACUGGAUAUGCCCGCGUCGGAUUAGCUAGUUGGUGAGGUAAUGGCUCACCAAGGCGACGAUCCGUAGCUGGUCUGAGAGGAUGAUCAGCCACACUGGGACUGAGACACGGCCCAGACUCCUACGGGAGGCAGCAGUGGGGAAUAUUGGACAAUGGGCGCAAGCCUGAUCCAGCCAUGCCGCGUGUGUGAAGAAGGCCCUAGGGUUGUAAAGCACUUUCAGCAGGGAGGAAGGCCUUAAAGUUAAUACCUUUGAGGAUUGACGUUACUGCAGAAGAAGCACCGGCUAA
rnacentral:rRNA from 1 species